rnacentral:rRNA from 1 species
AGGGCACCACCAGGGGUGGAGCCUGCGGCUUAAUUUGACUCAACACGGGAAAUCUCACCAGGCCCGGACACCGGUAGGAUUGACAGAUUGAUAGCUCUUUCUCGAUUUUGUGGGUGGUGGUGCAUGGCCGUUCUUAGUUGGUGGAGCGAUUUGUCUGGUUAAUUCCGAUAACGAACGAGACUCUAGCCUAAUUAAAUAGACGCAAUAUUUUGUUUGUAUUACGUCCUUCUUAGAAGGGACAAGGAAGCUCCUAGCUGCCACGAGAAUUGAGGCAAUAACAGGUCUGUGAUGGCCCUUAGAUGUCUGGGGCGCAACGCGCGGCUCAAAUGGAAGGUAGGAAAAUGCUUAAGAAUCCCGUGUCGAAAAGAGACUGGGUAAUACGAAUUAUUUUCUGCCUUGGAUAAGGAAUUCAAUUAAUUCCCUUGAACGGGAAUUCUCAGAAAGUGGGUCACAGCUCACGUUGAUACGUCCUCGCCUUUGACAAGGCGCGUCUCCCGUUGAGGGUGCGGAAAUGAGCGU